UGGGGAAUAUUGCACAAUGGGGGAAACCCUGAUGCAGCGACGCCGCGUGAACGAAGAAGGUAUCGUAUCGUAAAGUUCUGUCCUAUGGGAAGAUAAUGACAGUACCAUAGAAGAAAGCUCCGGCUAAAUACGUGCCAGCAGCCGCGGUAAUACGUAUGGAGCGAGCGUUGUCCGGAAUUAUUGGGCGUAAAGGGUACGCAGGCGGUUUAAUAAGUCGAAUGUUAAAGAUCGGGGCUCAACCCCGCAAAGCAUUGGAAACUGAUAAACUUGAGUAGUGGAGAGGAAAGUGGAAUUCCUAGUGUAGUGGUGAAAUACGUAGAUAUUAGGAGGAAUACCAGUAGCGAAGGCGACUUUCUGGACACAAACUGACGCUGAGGUACGAAAGCGUGGGGAGCAAACAGG
rnacentral:rRNA from 1 species